GACGAACGCUGGCGGCGUGCUUAACACAUGCAAGUCGAACGGAAAGGCCCUUCGGGGUACUCGAGUGGCGAACGGGUGAGUAACACGAGGGCAACCUACCCUCAGCUCUGGGAUAACUCCGGGAAACCGGGGCUAAUACUGGAUAGGACUUCGCAUCGCAUGGUGGGGGGUGGAAAGUUUUUCGGCUGAGGAUGGGCCCGCGGCCUAUCGGCUUGUUGGUGGGGUAAUAGCCUACCAAGGCGACGCCGGGUAGCCGGCCUGAGAGGGCGACCGGCCACACUGGGACUGAGACACGGCCCAGACUCCUACGGGAGGCAGCAGUGGGGAAUAUUGCGCAAUGGGCGAAAGCCUGACGCAGCGACGCCGCGUGAGGGAUGACGGCCUUCGGGUUGUAAACCUCUUUCAGCUCUGACGAAGCGAAAGUGACGGUAGGAGCAGAAGAAGCACCGGCCAACUACGUGCCAGCAGCCGCCGUAAUAC
rnacentral:rRNA from 1 species